GCUUAUGUACACUCUCUCUCUCUCUCUCUCUCUCUCUCUGUGUGUGUGUGUGUGUGUGAGAGAGAGAGAGAGAGAGAGAGAGAAGAUAAUGGGG